GCUAUCACUCCGUACGGGAGGCAGCAGUAGGAAUCUCCACAAUGACGAAAGUCUGAUGGAGCAACGCCGCGUGAGUGAAGAAGGGUUUCGGCUCGUAAAACUCUGUUGUUAAAGAAGAACAUAUCUGAGAGUAACUGUUCAGGUAUUGACGGUAUUUAACCAGAAAGCCACGGCUAACUACGUGCCAGCAGCCGCGGUAAUACGUAGGUGGCAAGCGUUGUCCGGAUUUAUUGGGCGUAAAGCGAGCGCAGGCGGUUUUUAAGUCUGAUGUGAAAGCCUUCGGCUCAACCGAAGAAGUGCAUCGGAAACUGGGAAACUUGAGUGCAGAAGAGGACAGUGGAACUCCAUGUGUAGCGGUGAAAUGCGUAGAUAUAUGGAAGAACACCAGUGGCGAAGGCGGCUGUCUGGUCUGUAACUGACGCUGAGGCUCGAAAGUAUGGGUAGCAAACAGGAUUAGAUACCCUGGUAG
rnacentral:rRNA from 1 species